rnacentral:rRNA from 1 species
AGACAAACUCCGAAUGCCAAAUAAUUUAACUUGGGAGUCAGAAUGUGGGUGAUAAGGUCCAUAUUCGAAAGGGAAACAGCCCAGACCACCAGCUAAGGUCCCAAAAUAUAUGUUAAGUGGAAAAGGAUGUGGCGUUGCCCAGACAACUAGGAUGUUGGCUUAGAAGCAGCCAUCAUUUAAAGAGUGCGUAAUAGCUCACUAGUCGAGUGACACUGCGCCGAAAAUGUACCGGGGCUAAACAUAUUACCGAAGCUGUGGAUUGUCCUUUGGACAAUGGUAGGAGAGCGUUCUAAGGGCGUUGAAGCAUGAUCGCAAGGACAUGUGGAGCGCUUAGAAGUGAGAAUGCCGGUGUGAGUAGCGAAAGACGGGUGAGAAUCCCGUCCACCGAUUGACUAAGGUUUCCAGAGGAAGGCUCGUCCGCUCUGGGUUAGUCGGGUCCUAAGCUGAGGCCGACAGGCGUAGGCGAUGGAUAACAGGUUGAUAUUCCUGUACCACCAUUAUUCGUUUUAAGCGAUGGGGGGACGCAGUAGGAUAGGCGAAGCGUGCUGUUGGAGUGCACGUCCAAGCAGUGAGAUUGAGUGUUAGGCAAAUCCGGCACUCUUAAGAUUGAGCUGUGAUGGGGAGAGGAACUUGUUCCUCGAGUCGUUGAUUUCACACUGCCGAGAAAAGCCUCUAGCUAGAAUAACGGUGCCCGUACCGCAAACCGACACAGGUAGUCAAGAUGAGAAUUCUAAGGUGAGCGAGCGAACUCUCGUUAAGGAACUCGGCAAAAUGACCCCGUAACUUCGGGAGAAGGGGUGCUCUUUGAGGUUCACGCUUCGAAGAGCCGCAGUGAAUAGGCCCAAGCGACUGUUUAUCAAAAACACAGGUCUCUGCUAAACCGUAAGGUGACGUAUAGGGGCUGACGCCUGCCCGGUGCUGGAAGGUUAAGAGGAGUGGUUAGCGCAAGCGAAGCUACGAAUCGAAGCCCCAGUAAACGGCGGCCGUAACUAUAACGGUCCUAAGGUAGCGAAAUUCCUUGUCGGGUAAGUUCCGACCCGCACGAAAGGCGUAACGAUUUGGGCACUGUCUCAACGAGAGACUCGGUGAAAUCAUAGUACCGGUGAAGAUGCCGGUUACCCGCGACAGGACGGAAAGACCCCGUGGAGCUUUACUGUAGCCUGAUAUUGAAAUUCGGUACAGUUUGUACAGGAUAGGUAGGAGCCUUAGAAGCGUGAGCGCUAGCUUACGUGGAGGCAUUGGUGGGAUACUACCCUAAUUGUAUUGGAUUUCUAACCCGCAGCACUUAUCGUGCUGGGAGACAGUGUCAGGCGGGCAGUUUGACUGGGGCGGUCGCCUCCUAAAGAGUAACGGAGGCGCUCAAAGGUUCCCUCAGAAUGGUUGGAAAUCAUUCAUAGAGUGUAAAGGCAUAAGGGAGCUUGACUGCGAGACCUACAAGUCGAGCAGGGUCGAAAGACGGACUUAGUGAUCCGGUGGUUCCGCAUGGAAGGGCCAUCGCUCAACGGAUAAAAGCUACCCCGGGGAUAACAGGCUUAUCUCCCCCAAGAGUUCACAUCGACGGGGAGGUUUGGCACCUCGAUGUCGGCUCAUCGCAUCCUGGGGCUGUAGUCGGUCCCAAGGGUUGGGCUGUUCGCCCAUUAAAGCGGUACGCGAGCUGGGUUCAGAACGUCGUGAGACAGUUCGGUCCCUAUCCGUCGUGGGCGUAGGAAAUUUGAGAGGAGCUGUCCUUAGUACGAGAGGACCGGGAUGGACAUACCUCUGGUGUACCAGUUGUCGUGCCAACGGCAUAGCUGGGUAGCUAUGUAUGGACGGGAUAAGUGCUGAAAGCAUCUAAGCAUGAAGCCCCCCUCGAGAUGAGAUUUCCCAACUUCGGUUAUAAGAUCCCUCAAAGAUGAUGAGGUGAAU